GAUGAACGCUGGCGGCGUGCCUAACACAUGCAAGUCGAGCGAGAAUUCUUUAACUGAUUCUUCGGAUGAUUUUAAAGAAGGAAAGCGGCGGACGGGUGAGUAACGCGUAGGCAACCUGCCUCUCACAGAGGGAUAGCCAUUGGAAACGAUGAUUAAAACCUCAUAACGCCACCCGGAGACAUCUCCGGAUGGCCAAAGAUUUAUCGGUGAGAGAUGGGCCUGCGUCUGAUUAGCUAGUUGGUGAGGUAACGGCUCACCAAGGCGACGAUCAGUAGCCGACCUGAGAGGGUGAUCGGCCACAUUGGAACUGAGACACGGUCCAA
rnacentral:rRNA from 1 species